rnacentral:rRNA from 1 species
AAUAAACGCUGGCGGCGUGCCUAACACAUGCAAGUCGCACGAGAACGCCUAAUCUUCGGAUGGGCAAGUAAAGUGGCGCACGGGUGAGUAACGCGUAGGCGACCUACCCCUGUGUUCGGGAUAACAGAGCGAAAGCGCUGCUAAUACCGGAUACGACCCUUUUUGGGUGAAAGCAGGCCUCUCAAAGAAGCUUGCGCGCGGGGACGGGCCUGCGUCCUAUCAGCUAGUUGGUAGGGUAGCGGCCUACCAAGGCGACGACGGGUAGCUGGUCUGAGAGGAUGAUCAGCCACACUGGCACUGGAACACGGGCCAGACUCCUACGGGAGGCAGCAGUGAGGAAUUUUGCGCAAUGGGGGAAACCCUGACGCAGCAACGCCGCGUGGGUGAAGAAGGCCUUCGGGUCGUAAAGCCCUGUCAGGCGGGAAGAAAUCCGGGGAGGCGAACAGCCUUUUCGGUUGACGGUACCGCCAGAGGAAGCACCGGCUAACUCCGUGCCAGCCGCCGCCGUAA